CCUACGGGGGGCUGCCGUGAGGAAUAUUGGUCAAUGGGCGAGAGCCUGAACCAGCCAAGUCGCGUGCAGGAUGAAGGAGCUAUGGUUUGUAAACUUCUUUUAUCUGGGGAUAAAGUGAGGAACGAGUUCCUUUUUGUAUGUACCAUAUGACUAAGCAUCGGGUAACUCCGUGCCAGCAGCCGCGGUAAUACGGAGGAUGCGAGCGUUAUCCGGAUUUAUUGGGUUUAAAGGGUGCGUAGGCGGGUAAUUAAGUCAGCGAUAAAAGUAUGGGGCUCAACCCUAAACUUGCCUUUGAAACUGGUUGACUUGAGUAGACGUGAGGUAGGCGGAAUGCGUAGUGUAGCGGUGAAAUGCUUAGAUAUCGCGCAGAACUCCGAUUGCGAAGGCAGCUUAC
rnacentral:rRNA from 1 species